AGUGGGGAAUAUUGCACAAUGGGCGCAAGCCUGAUGCAGCCAUGCCGCGUGUGUGAAGAAGGCCUUCGGGUUGUAAAGCACUUUCAGCAGUGAGGAAGGUAGUAAGUUUAAUACGCUUAUUGCUUGACGUUAGCUGCAGAAGAAGCACCGGCUAACUCCGUGCCAGCAGCCGCGGUAAUACGGAGGGUGCGAGCGUUAAUCGGAAUUACUGGGCGUAAAGCGCAUGCAGGUGGUUAAUUAAGUCAGAUGUGAAAGCCCGGGGCUCAACCUCGGAAGGCCAUUUGAAACUGGUUAACUAGAGUACUGUAGAGGGGGGUAGAAUUUCAGGUGUAGCGGUGAAAUGCGUAGAGAUCUGAAGGAAUACCGGUGGCGAAGGCGGCCCCCUGGACAGAUACUGACACUCAGAUGCGAAAGCGUGGGGAGCAAA
rnacentral:rRNA from 1 species